CCUACGGGAGUCAGCAGUGAGGAAUAUUGGUCAAUGGGCGCAGGCCUGAACCAGCCAAGUCGCGUGAGGGCAGACUGCCCUAUGGGUUGUAAACCUCUUUUAUAAGGGAAUAAUAAUGACUACGUGUAGUCAGAUGCACGUACCUUAUGAAUAAGCAUCGGCUAACUCCGUGCCAGCAGCCGCGGUACUACGGAGGAUGCGAGCGUUAUCCGGAUUUAUUGGGUUUAAAGGGUGCGUAGGCGGUAUUUUAAGUUAGUGGUAAAAUGUCGGGGCCUAACCUUGAUUGGCCAUUAAAACUGGCGUACUAGAGUACAGAAGAGGUAGGCGGAAUAAGUUAAGUAGCGGUGAAAUGCUUAGAUAUAACGGAGAACCCCGAUAGCGAAGGCAGCUUGCCAGACUGUUACUGACGCUGAAGCACGAGAGCGUGGGUAGCGAACAGGAUUAGAUACCCGAGUAGUC
rnacentral:rRNA from 1 species